AGCAAUCAACAAAAUCCAUCAUCUGCAAAGGACAUAACUGCUAUUAGACAUUAUUCAACCCAAGCAUGCCAGUAAGUGAAAAGAUAUAAGAAACAUAAUUCCCCUCUGCCAAAUCUCCACAUUUUGAUAACAUCCAAUAAGAUGAACUGGGUUUGUUUUGCAAGAUAAAUUAACAAGCACAUUUCAUUAAAAGAAUGAAACAUCGUCCAUUUCAUUUGCGCCCCCUUGGCAACAAUUCUACUCACAUAAAAGUUGAUUAUAAUGAACUUUUUAAGAUUGAUCAUAUUUAACAGUUGAAUCUAUUUUCUGUCCCAUUGAAGUAUCCAAUCCAAAGAAAAUCCAAGUGAAGGAAAAGAAAUUCUAAAAUUUAAGGAACUCAAAGUUUAAAUUUUCAAAGAAAGAAAAACAGGUUUGCUAUUUUCAUGAAGUCAAAUUAUAUUGGAGUUUAUGGUUAAUAUUUAUAGCAUUUUAUUAGCAUUUAGUCUCUUUUAUGUUUGUUUUUAAGCCUUUAGUAAUAUUUUAGAAAACUUGUUAAUUCAAUCCAAUUCUUUGAUUUUAUAUUUUAUCAAGUGUUUUUGUGCAGUUUUAGAGCCUAGAACAAGUUUGGAAGAAAUCAGGAGGUUAAAAAGUGAAGAAUGGAAGGUCUGAAUAAUUAUAUGGGCCAUAGAACCUACCCCGUAUAACCUCAUGGACCCCGUGCAAUCUUCUAGACAGAAUAAAACUUGAAAAAUAAAGCUACAAAGCAUUACACGGGGUACCUAGUAACACUACACGGCCCAUGUAAUGUUCCCAGACAGCAAUUCUAACUCAAUUUUCUUCCUUCUAACUCUAUUUGGAUGGACAUCUAAGGCUAUUAGAACUCUAAAAUAAGAAUUUUU
rnacentral:misc_RNA from 1 species